AGUGAACGCUGGCGGUAGGCCUAACACAUGCAAGUCGAACGGCAGCACAGUAAGAGCUUGCUCUUACGGGUGGCGAGUGGCGGACGGGUGAGGAAUACAUCGGAAUCUACUUUUUCGUGGGGGAUAACGUAGGGAAACUUACGCUAAUACCGCAUACGACCUACGGGUGAAAGCAGGGGAUCUUCUGACCUUGCGCGAUUGAAUGAGCCGAUGUCGGAUUAGCUAGUUGGCGGGGUAAAGGCCCACCAAGGCGACGAUCCGUAGCUGGUCUGAGAGGAUGAUCAGCCACACUGGAACUGAGACACGGUACAGACUCCUACGGGAGGCAGCAGUGGGGAAUAUUGGACAAUGGGCGCAAGCCUGAUACAGCCAUACCGCGUGGGUGAAGAAGGCCUUCGGGUUGUAAAGCCCUUUUGUUGGGAAAGAAAAGCAGCAGGUUAAUACCCCGCUGUUCUGACGGUACCCAAAGAAUAAGCACCGGCUAACUUCGUG
rnacentral:rRNA from 1 species